CCUACGGGAGGCAGCAGUGAGGAAUAUUGGUCAAUGGCCGGAAGGCUGAACCAGCCAUGCCGCGUGAAGGUCAGUGCCCUAUGGGCGUUAAACUUCUUUUGUGCGGGAGCAAUAAUGGUCACGUGUGGCCAGACGAGAGUACCGUACGAAUAAGCAUCGGCUAACUUCGUGCCAGCAGCCGCGGUAAUACGGGGGAUGCAAGCGUUAUCCGGAUUUAUUGGGUUUAAAGGGGGCGUAGGCGGUGAGGUAAGUCAGCGGUGAAAUGCCCCCGCUCAACGGGGUGACGUGCCAUUGAUACUGGCUGGCUGGAAUGCGGAUGCCGUAGGAGGAAUGUGUGGUGUAGCGGUGAAAUGCAUAGAUAUCGCACAGAACACCGAUUGCGAAGGCAUCUCACGAAUCCGCGAUUGACGCUGAUGCACGAAAGCGUGGGUAUCAAACAGGAUUAGAUACCCUAGUAGUC
rnacentral:rRNA from 1 species